GACCAGACUUGAUCCUCCUUGGCAUGCCCCCCAAGACCCAUGUCUUGGCUUUCCUUUUCCCUCCCCAAAUCUAGUUCCUACUGGGCUCAGAAGUUUCCUUCUACAAGAGGAUCUGGGGACUGGCAUCCUGAUAAAAAAGGAUCAAGAUAAAAUAUAUGAUUUAAUUAAAAUGAACAGAAAAACCAUAGUUAUUCCAGCAAUGAAGUCAUAAGAAGAACACACUACUUGCCAAGUGUAUGUACUUUUAAGAAUAUUUAUUGGAGGUCUACUAUGUGUUAAACCCUAAGAGAAAUCCAGGAAUGUCUACACAGAAGAGUCUCAAAUUCACAACCUAAGUCACCAAUAAGAUCUUCUCCCUAUAUUAGAAGCUAACCAGGGACUACAGAUUAAAAUCGAAUCCCCUCCCUUUUACAUACAUUCUAAGAUGAAACUCAAUGCUCGGAGAUGAAACAUGUUUAGUGCUUGUUUUGACAGAAUGGAGAUAAGUGGUGGUAAAACAU